UGGGGAAUUUUGGACAAUGGGCGAAAGCCUGAUCCAGCAAUGCCGCGUGUGUGAAGAAGGCCUUCGGGUUGUAAAGCACUUUUGUCCGGGAAAGAAAUCCUUGGCUCUAAUACAGUCGGGGGAUGACGGUACCGGAAGAAUAAGCACCGGCUAACUACGUGCCAGCAGCCGCGGUAAUACGUAGGGUGCAAGCGUUAAUCGGAAUUACUGGGCGUAAAGCGUGCGCAGGCGGUUUGCUAAGACCGAUGUGAAAUUCCCCGGGCUCAAUCUGGGAACUGCAUUGGUGACUGGCAGGCUAGAGUAUGGCAGAGGGGGGUUAGAAUUCCACGUGUAGCAGUGAAAUGCGUAGAGAUGUGGAGGAAUACCGAUGGCGAAGGCAGCCCCCUGGGCCAAUACUGACGCUCAUGCACGAAAAGGCGUGGGGACGCAAAAGCAGGAUUAGAUACCCCUGGUNGUCACGCCCUAAAUCGAUGUCAACUAGUUGUUGGGGAUUCAUUUCCUUAGUAACGUAGCUAACGCGUGAAGUUGACCGCCUGGGGAGUACGGUCG
rnacentral:rRNA from 1 species